rnacentral:misc_RNA from 1 species
AGAGUACCAAUCCUAGAACCCAUAGCCACCAGCUUUGACACAGCCAUCUGAUUGGUUGUUAAAGUACCUGUUUUAUCAGAACAGAUCACUGUUGUACAACCUAGAGUCUCAACACUAGGCAACUUUCUAACAAGUGCAUUCUUUUGAGCCAUCUUUCGAGUUCCAAGUGCCAAACAUGUAGUAAUGACUGCAGGCAACCCUUCUGGUAUAGCAGCCACGGCCAAUGCCACAGCAAUCUCAAAGUAAUAUGUGCACUUCUCAAAUGAGAACUUAAAAUUCUUAGGCCAACCAUCAACAUAUUCCCAACUAAGAAAGUACUUCACAUUAAUCAGCCAAACCAAUGCACAAAUAACUCCAAUUAUCAUCGUUAGAAGCUCUCCGAACUCAUUCAAUUU